rnacentral:rRNA from 1 species
GGAAAACAAUUGGAACUUCGAGCUCAACCACAACCACAGGAAGACUAGCAGGGACUUGACUUGCAGGUUCUCUGGCUGGUUCGCAAUGGCUUCAACAACAAGACUGGCAUGCACCCACUCUCACAAAACCAUGACACUGUUCUCAUGGUUUCAUAUUCUGAAGGACACAAGGAGGUCACCACAUGUCCAAAUCUGGCUGGCUCUACAUCGAUUACAAGCAAGGUGGUUGUUCUCUGGUUUUAUUGGGUAAAAGGAACAAGGCAGACACCUCAAGUUGAAGAUCAAAUCGAGCUACUUGUUAUCAACAACAGGAUAGCACAAUAAAAAGAUUCUUCGAAGGAUGAGCUUCUUAAUGCGACGGUACCACGGUCUGUGUCAUUCUGAUGAUAUCGAGGAAAAUACACAACUAGGCCACCACCCAACAGUGAUACACUAGCAAUUUCUGGAAGUAAUGGCAGAGAUCGUGAUUCUUCUAGCCAUUAAAAAGAUCGGAAAUGCCUUGGCAAAUGGAGCGGCAGACCAGGCCAGCACUCAGUUUGCGAAGUACCGCAUGCAACUAAAGGAGUUACAGGGCAACAUGGGUCGUGCUGCGAGAGAGCUUCGUGUAAUGCAUGAUGUUCUUUAUCAAAUGGACAUUCGAAACUGUGAUGAUCAAGUAUAUGAGGGCUGGUUGGAGGAGGUAAGGAAAGUAGCACAUGUGAUGGAGGACAUGGUGGAUGAGUACUUGUAUCUAGUUGGCCGGCAACAGGAUACAAGGUGUUGCUUUUACCUGAAGAAAGGGUUCAGAAAACCAAGAUCUCUGCUUUCUUUGAACCAAAUAGCUUUCAAGGUGAAGGAAAUAGAGAAAGACCUUGCACACCUGUCAGAGACAAAAAAAAAGAUGGGUUCCCAUGAUAAACAACCGGGAUACUAGCAGCUCAAAAUACAUGGUCAAGAGAUCACAAGAUCUAGCAAAUAUUUCACGUUCCCUUGACGAAGAAGAUCUAGUGGGGGUGGAUAAAAACAGAGAAAAACUAGAGCAGUGGGUGGCAUGUGAUGAUUUGGAAUGCUCUAUCAUAGCCUUGCUUGGAAUGGGAGGGCUUGGUAAAACAUCUCUAGCUGCAAAUGUCUACAGGAAGGAGAGAGAUAAAUUCCAGUGUCAUGCAUGGGUCUCCAUCUCACAAACUUAUUCCAGAGAAGAUGUCCUGAGGAAUAUAAUCAAGGAACUUUUUAGAGAUAAAGUCAAUGUCGUAUCUAACACUGCGGCCAUGGACAUCGCAUGCCUUGAAGUGACACUGAAGAGAUUUUUGGAGCAACAGAGGUAUCUGAUCAUAUUGGAUGAUGUUUGGACUCCAGAAGCAUUUGAUGACUUGUCUAGGGCGCUUAUUUAAGACAAGGGUAGUAGAUUGAUAAUCACAACAAGGGAAGGUGAUGUUGCUGCACUUGCCUCCCGAGGACAUAUCUUAACACUAGAAGCUUUACCAGAAGAACUGGCUUGGGAUCUCUUUUAUAAGAAAGCCUAUCCUGCAAGAGAUACAAUUCAUGAAUGUCCAGCCGAGUUGAAGCCAUUGUCCAAGGAAAUAGUUAACAAGUGCAAAGGCUUGCCUCUGGUUAUUGUGUCAGUUGGUAGCCUCUUGCGUGUGCGUGAGAAAACUAUAGAUGAAUGGAGAAGGAUAAAUGACCAACUGAGCUGGGAGUUAAUUAAUAAUUCAAGGCUAGGUCAGAUAAGGAAUGUUUUGCAUUUGAGCUUCAUCUAUCUUCCAACACACUUGAAAAGUUGUUUCCUGUAUUGCAGCUUAUUUCGAGAAGACUAUCUUUUCAAACGGAAAAGGCUCGUACGGUUAUGGAUAGCAGAGGGGUUCAUCGAGGAGAGGGGUGAAAGCACUCUAGAAGAAGUCGCCGAAGGCUAUCUGAAGGAAUUGAUUGAUAGAAACAUGAUACAACUUGUUGAGAGAAACUCAUUUGGCAGGAUAAAAGAAUUCAGAAUGCAUGAUAUCUUACGUGAAUUGGCAGUUCAUCUAUGCCAGAAGGACUGCUUUGGUGUUACAUAUGAGGAUAAAUGUGGGAAAUCACUUGAGAUGGAUGUACGUCGACUGGUACUGCAUAAAGUAACGAAGGAUAUUUAUCAGAGAUUAUCUGGUAUGCACCGAUUUAGAACUGUCAUUACAGUGGACAAUAGCGUACCAACGUUCACUAUACUACCUCUGCUAUGUAAGAAGUCAAGAUAUAUGACAGUGUUAGAAUUAAGUGGUCUACCCAUUGAGAAGAUCCCAGUUGCUAUUGGAGAUCUUUUCAAUCUCUGCCAUUUGGGUCUACGUAAUUCAAAAGUGAAGAUGCUUCCAAUGUCUGUUGACAAGCUUUCAAAUUUGUUGACACUGGACCUUGCUAGAUCUGACAUACAUGAGGUGCCUAGUGGGAUUGUGAAAUUGAAGAAGCUUAGGCACUUAUUUGUUGAGAAAAAAAUUGAUCCAAAUUGGAGAGCAUUUAAGUGUUCCAGUGGUGUGCAUAUUGCCAGUGGUCUUGGAAAUCCGACAAACCUGCAGACGCUCCGAGCAUUGGAAGCACAUGACGGAUCUAUUAGACAUUUAGGUGAGCUGAGGCAACUAAGAAGCUUGAGGUUGUGGAAUGUGAAGGGAAUCUACUGUGGGCGCAUUAGGGACUCUCUAGUUCAAAUGCGGUAUUUGUCCAACCUUUCUGUGAGCGCCAGUGAUGAGAAUGAGGUUCUCUUGUUGAAUGUCCUGCCAAACCUGCGAAAGCUAGUUUUGAGAGGGCGACUGGCGGAAGGGGCGUUGAAUGAGUCUCUUCUCUUCCAACCUGUUGGGGGGCAGAACUUGUAUAGACUGUCUCUAUCUUGGUCACAACUGAGGGAAGACCCUUUGCCAUCGCUUUCUCGGCUGUCUAAUUUGACGCAAAUACAUUUCACCAGAGCAUACAACGGAGAGCAUCUAGCAUUUCUCACGAGGUGGUUUCCCAAGCUGAAGACUCCUCAGUUGGGAGACCUGCCUAAUCUGAAGCAGCUAGAGAUACAACGAGGUGCCAUGGCAAACCUGGAAAGAUUAUUCUUAAUCAACCUCAACAGCAUGAUGGAGGUCCCACCUGGCAUUGAGUUCCUCAUGCCCCUCCAGCGUCUCGGCUUCCACGAAAUCACAAGUGAUUUCUUGCUGUUGUUGCGCCAAUGUUCUGCAAUUCAAGGGACACAGUGGCAGCAUUCUCUCUGAGAAUGACCUAUCAGAAAUGUGCACGUUUAUGAAGGAAUGAAGAGGCUUCGCUAUGAUGUUCAUUAUUGCAGAUCAAGGAAAAGGACAGAUCCGAUUGCGCAUAGUGUCUGGGACUCCUCUGCUUUCUUAAGGCGCCAUUUGCUGCUUGUUCCACCUCCACUACGGUGAUGCUACUGCUACUAUUGUUGGUGUCAUCAUGUGCUUUUUCUUGUCAAGUGUGAUAUUCUCUUCUACUCCCUCUGUCCCAAAAAUAAGUUUCUUAACUUUAUACUAACUUUCGUAUAAAGUUGUAUUAAACUUGAGACACUUAUUUUGGGACGGAGGAAGUAUUAUUGUGGCUUAUUAAGAGAUCGAAAACGAGUUGUGUUUCCGUGUUCAGACUUAAUUAUUUCAUGUUACUUGUAGUUGUUUCAACUGUGCACUGCUAUUUUGCGCGUGUGCUUGUUGUUGAACCUAUUUGAGUUGUGGGUGGCUGUUCAUAGAAGACUUGGUUUGUGAUUCA